UACGUAGGGCGCAAGCGUGGUCCGGAAUUAUUGGGCGUAAAGAGCUCGUAGGGGGCUUGUCACGUCGGGGGUGAAAGCUUGGGGCUUAACUCCAGGUCUGCAUUCGAUACGGGCUGGCUAGAGGUAGGUAGGGGAGAACGGAAUUCCUGGUGUAGCGGUGAAAUGCGCAGAUAUCAGGAGGAGCACCGGUGGCGAAGGCGGUUCUCUGGGCCUUACCUGACGCUGAGGAGCGAAAGCGUGGGGAGCGAACAGG
rnacentral:rRNA from 1 species